rnacentral:rRNA from 1 species
AUUGAACGCUGGCGGCAGGCUUAACACAUGCAAGUCGAGCGGGGGAAGGUAGCUUGCUACUGGACCUAGCGGCGGACGGGUGAGUAAUGCUUAGGAAUCUGCCUAUUAGUGGGGGACAACAUCUCGAAAGGGAUGCUAAUACCGCAUACGUCCUACGGGAGAAAGCAGGGGAUCUUCGGACCUUGCGCUGAUAGAUGAGCCUAAGUCGGAUUAGCUAGUUGGUGGGGUAAAGGCCUACCAAGGCGACGAUCUGUAGCGGGUCUGAGAGGAUGAUCCGGCACACUGGGACUGAGACACGGCCCUGACUCCUACGGGAGGCAGCAGUGGGGAAUAUUGGACAAUGGGGGGAACCCUGAUCCAGCCAUGCCGCGUGUGUGAAGAAGGCCUUAUGGUUGUAAAGCACUUUAAGCGAGGAGGAGGCUACUUUAGUUAAUACCUAGAGAUAGUGGACGUUACUCGCAGAAUAAGCACCGGCUAACUCUGUGCCAGCCGCCGCGGUAA